GUUUUGAUUUUUUCGAAGAAAUGGACCAGCUAGCUACUGGGUGCCAGGCCGGUCGUGGUUGCGAGGUCCUCUGCUGUUGACAGCACCGUUCCCCCUGAUGACCAAUCUGGUGUGGAAGACGAGAAAGAGGAUGAAGGGGAUGAUGAGGAAGAAGAGGGUGCUGAAGACUACAGUGGACAAGUGACCAUGGAGGAUUCAGAGCCCCCAGGCCCCACCCCAGCUGCAGCAGGAGGUAGUCGCCUGUUUCGCAGGCCACUGAAGAAAAAGUCUGUACUAGCUGCAUAGAGUCAGCAGCUGUCGGACUUACUGAAAAGGCAAGAGGCAGGAGGAGGAAGAUGGAGAGAUGCUAACUUCUCUGAGAACGUCCGUCAAGCGCCAGUUUGGAGCAUCAGAAUAACCCGCCCAUUGCCUCUUCAAGCAGCCAAGUGGGCUUACCAUUUAAUGUUAUUUAAUAUUUAAUACUAAUUAUGAAUAUUUAUUAAAUGCAUUUUUGUGAAAAAUGCCCAUGUUUGUUUGUUUUUAAUAUACAUAUUCACUUGAUGUGAAUUCUGUGGUCUUUCACAAAUGCAUGUGACGCAUCAGGGUAUCUCUUAUUGCCGCUGCCUCAGUGUCCUCCUCAGCUGACUCGGGAUCUUCUCCUCUGCUUUAUAAUGUUAAAUUCAACUCUUCAAGUGUUAAUUCAACAGUACAUUAACACUAAAAUGAGUGGGACCAUAUGCUCUAAGCAGUGUUGACUUGAGACUGCAAAUUUUACCAUGUGAUAGGCAUACAACCUCAGACAAAAUAAAAAAUCACCUGUCAUGUAGGAUGUUCAUUCAGUUGAUGUUAGCUAGUCCUUUUCAGACAGGACAGGUACAGGGGUUGGCCAUGGAGGGCGGGGAGGUGUUGCUCUCACGGGUCUAGGCCUACUGUAGUAUGAUGGCCUGUAUGCUGCUCUGUGUCUGUCUGACUAGGCAGUUUU